AUGCAGCCAUAUCAUCUGAAUGCUUUUGGACUGCGGACACACAUUAAACUCCAAAGUAAGUACUACGGCCCCUUCCGGACAAUCGCCAAAGUGGGGCGUGUGGCCUACAAACUGCUAUUGCGUGACAAGGUGAACAUUCAUCCGGUCUUUCACGUGAGCCAACUAAAGAAGCAUGCCAGACAGAAAGCCAUUCCCUACGCCGACCUCCCACUGGUUCGUGUUGAUGGGAUGAUCCAAACCGAACCCGUUCUGGUCCUGGAAACCCGUCAGAUCCCUCGCAAAAACUUACCCGUCGUACAAUGGCUUAUUCAAUGGGCUAACCUCCCUCCCGAUGAGGCUUCAUGGGAAGACGCAGCAUUCAUGAAGAAAACCUUUCCGGCCUUCUUCAAGGACAGCAUCGACCGAUGGUUCAACCAAUCACCUCCUUGA
rnacentral:rRNA from 1 species